GCCUGGGUGGCUCAGUCGGUUUAGUGUCCGACUUCGGCUCAGAUCAUGAUCUCAUGGUUUGUGGGUUCGAGUCCUGCUUCAGGCU
rnacentral:tRNA from 1 species